rnacentral:rRNA from 1 species
AUUGAACGCUGGCGGCAUGCUUUACACAUGCAAGUCGAACGGCAGCGCGGGCUUCGGCCUGGCGGCGAGUGGCGAACGGGGGAGUAAUGCAUCGGAACGUGCCCAGUAGUGGGGGAUAGCCCGGCGAAAGCCGGAUUAAUACCGCAUACGACCUGAGGGUGAAAGCGGGGGACCGAAAGGCCUCGCGCUAUUGGAGCGGCGGAAGUCGGAUUAGCUAGUUGGUGGGGUAAAGGGUUACCAAGGCGGCGAUCCGUAGCUGGUCUGAGAGGACGACCAGCCACACUGGGACUGAGACACGGCCCAGACUCCUACGGGAGGCAGCAGUGGGGAAUUUUGGACAAUGGGGGCAACCCUGAUCCAGCCAUGCCGCGUGCGGGAAGAAGGCCUUCGGGUGGUAAACCGCUUUUGUUCGGGAAGAAAUCCUCUGGGCUAAUACCCCGGGGGGAUGACGGUACCGGAAGAAUAAGCACCGGCUAACUACGUG